UCUUCAUUUCACACACUCUCUCGCCUCUCUGACCGAUGAGAGAGUGUGUGAAAUGAAGGGA
rnacentral:pre_miRNA from 1 species